CCCUUAGAUGUUCUGGGCCGCACGCGCGCUACACUGAUGCAUUCAACAAGCCUAGCCUUGACCGAGAGGUCCGGGUAAUCUUUGAAACUGCAUCGUGAUGGGGCUAGAUUAUUGCAAUUAUUAAUCUUCAACGAGGAAUGCCUAGUAAGCGUGAUUCAUCAAAUCGCGUUGAUUACGUCCCUGCCCUUUGUACACACCGCCCGUCGCACCUACCGAUUGAAUGGUCCGGUGAAGCCUCCGGAUUGGCGCGCACCUCGGUGCCGCCGAGAAGUUGGCUAAACCUUACCAUUUAGAGGAAGGUGAAGUCGUAACA
rnacentral:rRNA from 1 species